GCCGGAGUGGUGGAAUUGGCAGACACGAAGGAUUCAAAAUCCUUUGGGACUAACGUCCCGUGGGGGUUCGAGUCCCCCCUCCGGUA
rnacentral:tRNA from 1 species